rnacentral:rRNA from 1 species
UGGGGAAUUUUGGACAAUGGGCGCAAGCCUGAUCCAGCCAUGCCGCGUGCAGGAUGAAGGCCCUCGGGUUGUAAACUGCUUUUGUACGGAACGAAAAGCCUCUUUCUAAUAAAGAGGGGUGAUGACGGUACCGUAAGAAUAAGCACCGGCUAACUACGUGCCAGCAGCCGCGGUAAUACGUAGGGUGCGAGCGUUAAUCGGAAUUACUGGGCGUAAAGCGCGCGCAGGCGGUCUUGCAAGACAGUGGUGAAAUCCCCGGGCUCAACCUGGGAACUGCCAUCGUGACUGCAAGGCUGGAGUACGGCAGAGGGGGAUGGAAUUCCGCGUGUAGCAGUGAAAUGCGUAGAUAUGCGGAGGAACACCGAUGGCGAAGGCAGUCCCCUGGGCCUGUACUGACGCUCAUGCACGAAAGCGUGGGGAGCAAACA